ACGUUAGCGGCGGACGGGUGAGUAACACGUGGAUAACCUACCUAUAAGACUGGGAUAACUUCGGGAAACCGGAGCUAAUACCGGAUAACAUAUUGAACCGCAUGGUUCAAUAGUGAAAGGCGGCUUUGCUGUCACUUAUAGAUGGAUCCGCGCCGUAUUAGCUAGUUGGUAAGGUAACGGCUUACCAAGGCAACGAUACGUAGCCGACCUGAGAGGGUGAUCGGCCACACUGGAACUGAGACACGGUCCAGACUCCUACGGGAGGCAGCAGUAGGGAAUCUUCCGCAAUGGGCGAAAGCCUGACGGAGCAACGCCGCGUGAGUGAUGAAGGUCUUCGGAUCGUAAAACUCUGUUAUCAGGGAAGAACAAAUGUGUAAGUAACUGUGCACAUCUUGACGGUACCUGAUCAGAAAGCCACGGCUAACUACGUGCCAGCAGCCGCGGUAAUACGUAGGUGGCAAGCGUUAUCCGGAAUUAUUGGGCGUAAAGCGCGCGUAGGCGGUUUUUUAAGUCUGAUGUGAAAGCCCACGGCUCAACCGUGGAGGGUCAUUGGAAACUGGAAAACUUGAGUGCAGAAGAGGAAAGUGGAAUUCCAUGUGUAGCGGUGAAAUGCGCAGAGAUAUGGAGGAACACCAGUGGCGAAGGCGACUUUCUGGUCUGUAACUGACGCUGAUGUGCGAAAAGCGUGGGGAUCAAACAGGAUUAGAUA
rnacentral:rRNA from 1 species